AAAMYGSCWMSKSGMGCGAAKGCSUAAARAGCUUGCUCUUAUGAAGUUAGCGGCGGACGGGUGAGUAACACGUGGGUAACCUGCCCAUAAGACUGGGAUAACUCCGGGAAAMCGGGGCUAAUACCGGAUAACAUUUUGAACCGCAUGGUUCGAAAUUGAAAGGCGGCUUYGGCUGUCACUUAUGGAUGGACCCGCGUCGCAUUAGCUAGUUGGUGAGGUAACGGCUCACCAAGGCAACGAUGCGUAGCCGACCUGAGAGGGUGAUCGGCCACACUGGGACUGAGACACGGCCCAGACUCCUACGGGAGGCAGCAGUAGGGAAUCUUCCGCAAUGGACGAAAGUCUGACGGAGCAACGCCGCGUGAGUGAUGAAGGCUUUCGGGUCGUAAAACUCUGUUGUUAGGGAAGAACAAGUGCUAGUUGAAUAAGCUGGCACCUUGACGGUACCUAACCAGAAAGCCACGGCUAACUMYGUGCCAGCAGCCGCAAA
rnacentral:rRNA from 1 species